UAUUAUGUUUGGAGUUUGUGUUUCUGCUGCCUUGGCUAGGUCUCCCUUGAGAAGGUGACCUCUGUGGGACCUCCUGGUUAAAUCAAGCACAAUGUGGCAGACGGGGAGAGAUGACUUGGAUUCAUCUCACUGUACAAUCAAUGAAACACAGGAUCCGUUCCCACAGUGCUGACGACACAAACAUGAUCUUCCGCCCACACAAACAGAUGCACACAUCCAACUCCACUCAUCAAAGUGGAUGCUGCCUCAUACCUACAGCAGCAAUCAGACAAAGAGAUCCAGCAUUACCUUCUUAGGCGAUUUGAGUUACAGUAGCUCACCUGUUGGAUUGGACCACAGGGGCCAACUUCGCUCCAUGACCCUGUCACUGGUUCACCACUCUUCCUUUCUUCAACCACUAUGGAUACCAACUACCUAGACCAUGAACACCCUACAAGAGCUCCCUCCAUUCCACCACAUCCCAAAGGUGCUCUAUUGGAUUGAGAUCAUGUUCAAGAAACUUAAAAGAAACCCGAGCUAAGUAACACGGAGAAUCUUAAAUUAUCCAAUUUUGUUGAGACUGGAUGAGUUAUAGCCUCAGUUUCCUGUUCUUUGCUGAGAAGUUGAGUGUAGCCAGUGUGGUUGUCUGCUGCAAUAGCUCAUCUGCUGCAAGGUUUAAUGUUUUGUACUAUCACACAUGCUCUUCUGCAGACCUUGGUUGUAAUGAGUGGUUAUUUGAGUUACUGUUCCCUUCCUAUCAGCACCAACCAUGUGGCAGAACCGUGUCAGACUAAACAAAAUCGCCUUUCUUCCCCCAAUUUGUUGCUCAGUUUGAACUUCAGUGUUUUUUUGACCAUGUCUACAUGCCUAAAUACAUUGGGUUGCUGCCAUGUCACUGGCUGAUUAUAUAUUUGUGUGAUCGAGCACCUGAAUAGGUGUACCCAAUAAAGUUUGUGGUGAGAGUGGUGUGACCUGUGA